GCCAUGGCUCAGUAGCAGAGCUUCUGUUUUGCAUGCAGAAGGUCCCAGGUUCAAUCCCCGGCAUCUCCA